rnacentral:rRNA from 1 species
UCGAGGAUCUUCGGCAAUGGGCGCAAGCCUGACCGAGCGAUGCCGCGUGCGCGACGAAGGCCUUCGGGUUGUAAAGCGCGAAAGUGGGGAGAAAACCGAAAGGCUGAUCUAUCCACAGUAAGCUCGGGCUAAGUUCGUGCCAGCAGCCGCGGUAAGACGAACCGAGCGAACGUUGUUCGGAAUCACUGGGCUUAAAGGGCGCGUAGGCGGGCUGUCAAGUCUGGGGUGAAAUCCCGCGGCUCAACCGCGGAACUGCCUCGGAUACUGACGGUCUCGAGGGGGGUAGGGGCGAGCGGAACUGAUGGUGGAGCGGUGAAAUGCGUUGAUAUCAUCAGGAACUCCGGUGGCGAAGGCGGCUCGCUGGACCUCAUCUGACGCUGAGGCGCGAAAGCUAGGGGAGCAAACG